rnacentral:tRNA from 1 species
GGCGGAGUGGCUAGAGCACACGGGACUGGGAGUCAGAGGGUCCUGGGUUCUAAUCCCAGCUCCGCCA